rnacentral:rRNA from 1 species
CAAGUCGAACGAGUUCUUGUUGAUGAUCGGUGCUUGCACCAAGAUUCAACAUGGAACGAGUGGCGGACGGGUGAGUAACACGUGGGUAACCUGCCCUUAAGUGGGGGAUAACAUUUGGAAACAGAUGCUAAUACCGCAUAGAUCCAAGAACCGCAUGGUUCUUGGCUGAAAGAUGGCGUAAGCUAUCGCUUUUGGAUGGACCCGCGGCGUAUUAGCUAGUUGGUGAGGUAAUGGCUCACCAAGGCGAUGAUACGUAGCCGAACUGAGAGGUUGAUCGGCCACAUUGGGACUGAGACACGGCCCAAACUCCUACGGGAGGCAGCAGUAGGGAAUCUUCCACAAUGGACGCAAGUCUGAUGGAGCAACGCCGCGUGAGUGAAGAAGGCUUUCGGGUCGUAAAACUCUGUUGUUGGAGAAGAAUGGUCGGCAGAGUAACUGUUGUCGGCGUGACGGUAUCCAACCAGAAAGCCACGGCUAACUACGUGCCAGCAGCCGCGGUAAUACGUAGGUGGCAAGCGUUAUCCGGAUUUAUUGGGCGUAAAGCGAGCGCAGGCGGUUUUUUAAGUCUGAUGUGAAAGCCCUCGGCUUAACCGAGGAAGCGCAUCGGAAACUGGGAAACUUGAGUGCAGAAGAGGACAGUGGAACUCCAUGUGUAGCGGUGAAAUGCGUAGAUAUAUGGAAGAACACCAGUGGCGAAGGCGGCUGUCUGGUCUGUAACUGACGCUGAGGCUCGAAAGCAUGGGUAGCGAACAGGAUUAGAUACCCUGGUAGUCCAUGCCGUAAACGAUGAAUGCUAGGUGUUGGAGGGUUUCCGCCCUUCAGUGCCGCAGCUUACGCAUUAAGCAUUCCGC